UGAGGAAUAUUGGUCAAUGGGGGCAACCCUGAACCAGCCAAGUCGCGUGAAGGAUGAAGGUCUUAUGGAUUGUAAACUUCUUCUACACGGGAAUAAAGUGGGGGACGUGUCCCCCUUUGCAUGUACCGUGUGAAUAAGGAUCGGCUAACUCCGUGCCAGCAGCCGCGGUAAUACGGAGGAUCCGAGCGUUAUCCGGAUUUAUUGGGUUUAAAGGGUGCGCAGGCGGGAUGUUAAGUCGGCGGUGAAAUUUUGCAGCUCAACUGUAAAAGUGCCUUCGAUACUGGCCUCCUUGAGUGUGGAUGAAGUAGGCGGAAUUUGUGGUGUAGCGGUGAAAUGCUUAGAUAUCACGAGGAACUCCGAUUGCGCAGGCAGCUUACUAAGCCACAACUGACGCUCAUGCACGAAGGCGUGGGGAUCAAACA
rnacentral:rRNA from 1 species